AGGGGUAUGAUGAAAUUGGUAUCAUAAUGGUCUCCAAAACCAUUUUUUCGAGUUCGAGCCUUGAUACCCCUGCCA
rnacentral:tRNA from 1 species